AUUAGCUUAGCUGGUUGGAGCAUGGUGUUAAUAACACCAAGGUUGUGGGUUCAAUCCCCAUAU
rnacentral:tRNA from 1 species